GACGAACGCUGGCGGCGUGCUUAACACAUGCAAGUCGAACGGAAAGGCCCUGCUUGCAGGGUACUCGAGUGGCGAACGGGUGAGUAACACGUGGGUGAUCUGCCCUGCACUUCGGGAUAAGCCUGGGAAACUGGGUCUAAUACCGGAUAGGAGCCACUUUUAGUGUGAUGGUUGGAAAGUUUUUUCGGUGUAGGAUGAGCUCGCGGCCUAUCAGCGUGUUGGUGGGGUAAUGGCCUACCAAGGCGGCGACGGGUAGCCGGACUGAGGGGGUGGACGGCCACAUUGGCACUGAGGGGCGGCCCAAAUACCGACUGGUGGCAGCAGUGGGGAAUCUUGCACAAUGGGCGCAGGCCUGAUGAAGCGGCGCCGCGUGGGGGAUGACGGCCUUAGGGUUGAAAACUACUUUCGCUAGGAACGAAGCUUUUUGUGACGGUACCUAGAUAAGAAGCACCGGCUAACUACGUG
rnacentral:rRNA from 1 species